GAUGAAUUUUGUUAGCUUUUUCAUGUUUUAAAUGCCCCUCUUUUAGGUUUCGUUGGUUUACCUUUUACGACAGACUUGCCUUACGGCCAAUUAGUUUUGCGGCAAAGACGCUUCCAGCGAAGAUGCUCCCGGCGAAAUACCAGACGUGCCAAGAAAAGCUGCCUUUAGAAGGUCUUAACGCACCACCACUUGGCUUGGCUUUCAUCUUGCCCAGCUGCUUACCAAAGCCUUCCUCUUUCAUCUUCGACGGCUUUAAUUGGUGGCAAGCCAAUCCAGAGGAUGCUCAUCUGAGAAUGAAGACUUCCCACGUGAUUUCUGAUCUUUGUUACAGUUUGAUGAUAACUACGUCAGCAUUUCUACUUUCUGUGGGUUUUUAUAAGAGAGGUGGCGAAUCUUUACCUAUGGAACAUACGGAUGUAGGAGCUCCUUUCUAGAUUCUAGACUCUACUGCACUGGAAUCUCCAUGGGUGGGAACUGCCCCCCCCAAACUCCGGAAGGCUGUCUUGUAAAGACUCUACAGGUCAUUCUAAUGGGAGCCAGGGUUGAAGAUCACUGGGAAAUUUAAAUGUAAGUGGAUGUGUCUCCAUG
rnacentral:lncRNA from 1 species